rnacentral:rRNA from 1 species
UACGGGGGGGGGCAAGCGUUUGUUCGGAAUUACUGGGCGUAAAGGGCUCGUAGGUGGCCAACUAAGUCAGACGUGAAAUCCCUCGGCUUAACCGGGGAACUGCGUCUGAUACUGGAUGGCUUGAGUGUGGGAGAGGGAUGCGGAAUUCCAGGUGUAGCGGUGAAAUGCGUAGAUAUCUGGAGGAACACCGGUGGCGAAGGCGGCAUCCUGGACCAUUACUGACACUGAAUAGCGAAAGCCAGGGGAGCAAACGGGG